rnacentral:rRNA from 1 species
AACGAACGCUGGCGGCGUGCCUAACACAUGCAAGUCGAGCGAGAAAGUUCCUUCGGGAACGAGUAAAGCGGCGCACGGGUGAGUAACACGUAGGUAACUUGCCCCUUAGUCUGGAACAACUAGAGGAAACUCUAGCUAAUGCCGGAUGAGACCACGGUCCCUUCGGGGACUGCGACCAAAGAUGGCCUCUACUUGUAAGCUAUCGCUGAGGGAUGGGCCUGCGGGCCAUUAGCUUGUUGGUGAGGUAACGGCUCACCAAGGCUGUGAUGGCUAGGUGGUCUGAGAGGAUGACCAGCCACACUGGGACUGAGACACGGCCCAGACUCCUACGGGAGGCAGCAGUGGGGAAUAUUGCGCAAUGGGCGAAAGCCUGACGCAGCGACGCCGCGUGGGUGAUGAAGGCCUUCGGGUCGUAAAGCCCUGUCGCAGGGGAAGAAUAAGCAUCGGGAUAAUACCCCGGUGCCCUGACGGUACCCUGCAAGAAAGCACCGGCUAACUCCGUGCCAGCCGCCGCCGUAA